rnacentral:rRNA from 1 species
UACAGAGGUCUCAAGCGUUGUUCGGAUUCAUUGGGCGUAAAGGGUGCGUAGGUGGCGUCGUAAGUGGGGUGUGAAAUCCCGGGGCUUAACCCCGGGACUGCAUUCCAUACUGCGGUGCUUGAGGACUGGAGAGGAGACUGGAAUUUACGGUGUAGCAGUGAAAUGCGUAGAGAUCGUAAGGAGGACCAGUGGCGAAGGCGGGUCUCUGGACAGUUCCUGACACUGAGGCACGAAGGCCAGGGGAGCAAACGGG